rnacentral:miRNA from 1 species
UAAACACCUUCGGAGGCCCAA